rnacentral:rRNA from 1 species
AGGGUUUGAUCAUGGCUCAGAACGUACGCUGGCGGCACGCCUAACACAUGCAAGUCGAACGAAGUAGUAAUACUUAGUGGCAGACGGGUGAGUAACAUGUGGGUAUCUACCCUUUGGCCUGGAAUAACACGAGGAAACUUGUGCUAAUACCGGAUAAGUCUUCACAGAGAAAGCUUUAUGCACCAUUGGAUGAGCCUGCACUUGAUUAGUUAGUUGGUAGGGUAAUGGCCUACCAAGACUUUGAUCAAUAGCUGAUUUGAGAGGAUGAUCAGCCACAUUGGGACUGAGACACGGCCCAAACUCCUACGGGAGGCAGCAGUGGGGAAUCUUGCACAAUGGAGGAAACUCUGAUGCAGCGAUGCCGCGUGAGUGAAGAAGGCCCUUGGGUUGUAAAGCUCUUUCGUCGGGGAAGAAAAUGACUGUACCCGAAUAAGAAGGUCCGGCUAACUUCGUGCCAGCAGCCGCGGUAAUACGAAGGGACCUAGCGUAGUUCGGAAUUACUGGGCUUAAAGAGUUCGUAGGUGGUUGAAAAAGUUGGUGGUGAAAUCCCAGAGCUUAACUCUGGAACUGCCAUCAAAACUUUUCAGCUAGAGUAUGAUAGAGGAAAGCAGAAUUUCUAGUGUAGAGGUGAAAUUCGUAGAUAUUAGAAAGAAUACCAAUUGCGAAGGCAGCUUUCUGGAUCAUUACUGACACUGA